CUUUCGGGUGUUAGUAGAGUGGCAACGGGUGAGUAACGCGUGGGAAUAUACCUUAUAGUACGGAAUAGCCUCGGGAAACUGGGAUUAAUACCGUAUACGCCCUUAGGGGGAAAGAUUUAUCGCUAUAAGAUUAGCCCGCGUCAGAUUAGCUUGUUGGUGGGGUAACGGCCUACCAAGGCGACGAUCUGUAGCUGGUCUGCGAGGACAAUCAGCCACAUUGGGACUGAGAUACGGCCCAAACUCCUACGGGAGGCAGCAGUAGGGAAUAUUGGACAAUGGACGAAAGUCUGAUCCAGCAAUGCCGCGUGAAUGAUGAAGGCCUUAGGGUUGUAAAGUUCUUUUAGUGGGGAAGAUAAUGGCGGUACCCACAGAAAAAGCACCGGCUAACUCCGUGCCAGCAGCCGCGGUAAUAC
rnacentral:rRNA from 1 species